rnacentral:rRNA from 1 species
AGAGUUUGAUCCUGGCUCAGAAUAAACGCUGGCGGCGUGCGUAACACAUGCAAGUCGAACGAGAAAGCGGGGGCAACCUCGCGAGUAAAGUGGCAGACGGGUGAGUAACACGUGAACAACCUACCCUUGAGUGGGGAAUAACCCCGCGAAAGCGGGGCUAAUACCGCAUAACAUCGCCGGUUCGCAUGGACUGGUGAUCAAAAGCGCAAGUUGCUCGGGGAGGGGUUCGCGCCUGAUUAGCUAGUUGGUGAGGUAACGGCCCACCAAGGCGACGAUCAGUAGCCGGCCUGAGAGGGCGUACGGCCACACUGGAACUGAGACACGGUCCAGACUCCUACGGGAGGCAGCAGUGGGGAAUUUUGCGCAAUGGGCGAAAGCCUGACGCAGCAACGCCGCGUGGAGGAUGAAGGUCUUCGGAUCGUAAACUCCUGUCAGCGGGGACGAAAGCCCGCAAGGGUUUGACUGUACCCGCUGAGGAAGCCACGGCUAACUCCGUGCCAGCAGCCGCGGUAAUACGGAGGUGGCAAGCGUUGUUCGGAAUUACUGGGCGUAAAGGGCGCGUAGGCGGCUUGGCAAGUCAGAUGUGAAAGCCCCGGGCUUAACUCGGGAAUUGCAUCUGAAACUGCUUUGCUUGAGUCCUGGAGGGGGUAGUGGAAUUCCCAGUGUAGCGGUGAAAUGCGUAGAUAUUGGGAGGAACACCGGUGGCGAAGGCGGCUACCUGGACAGUGACUGACGCUGAGGCGCGAAAGCCAGGGGAGCAAACGGGAUUAGAUACCCCGGUAGUCCUGGCUGUAAACGAUGGGCACUUGGUGUCGGGGGUAUUGAGUCCCCCGGUGCCGGAGUUAACACGUUAAGUGCCCCGCCUGGGGAGUACGGUCGCAAGACUGAAACUCAAA